AACCCCAACGUCCCACCCCUCCACCAUCAUUACCCCCCAGCGUCCCACCCCCUUGCCAUCAUCCCCCCUCCCGAGCGUUCUCUUAUGUACGGAUUCAUCACACAGGCCGCGGUGUUGCUUCUCACUGCUUGUCUUCCAAAUGGCGCUAUCCGAGACUGCCGAUUUUGCUCUUUACCGACCGAAGGGUUUAUGCUUCAACAUGCAAAGACACUAGAAGUUCAAAUGCCUGCUUUCCAACGAGAGGUGUUGAUGCUCACUUGAUAAUGCAUAUUUUAUGGAACUAUGUCCCUGCAGCUGACAAAUUUGAAGUUGAAUAAUUUUGAGAUGUUUGAAUUUGUAGUGUAAUCUGUAUUAUUGUAUCCAACCUUGGUGUAAUUAUUUUGAUUUUACGAAUAGAGGGAUGUGAAUGCAUGGCUUUAUGAAUAUGAGUUCGAGAAUUAUUUGCCA